rnacentral:rRNA from 1 species
UACGUAAGGGGCAAGCGUUGUCCGGAUUUACUGGGCGCAAAGAGCGUGUAGGCGGCCAGGCAGGUCUGUUGUGAAAACUGGAGGCUCAACUUCCAGACGUCGACAGAAACCGCUUGGCUAGAGUCCGGAAGAGGAGAGUGGAAUUCCUGGUGUAGCGGUGAAAUGCGCAGAUAUCAGGAAGAACACCGAUGCGAAGGCAGCUCUCUGGGACGGUACUGACGCUGAGACGCGAAAGCGUGGGGAGCGAACAGG